AGUGGAUGGGGAGCAACCUAGUUGUGCGUGUGUAAAGGUAGUGCCAAGAAAAGCGAUGAUCAUGUUGAAAAUCAAUUCCCGGUACCCGAAACCGACACAGGUGGGCAAGUAGAGAAUACUAAGGGGCGCGAGGUAACUCUCUCCAAGGAACUCGGCAAAAUGACCCCGUAACUUAGGGAGAAGGGGUGCCACCGAGAGGUGGUCGCAGUGAAGAGGCCCAGGCGACUGUUUAGCAAAAACAUAGGUCUCUGCAAACUCGAAAGAGGAGGUAUAGGGGCUGACGCCUGCCCAGUGCCGGAAGGUUAAAGAAGUUGGUCAGUUUUAGGAUGAAGCUAGCGACUGAAGCCCCGGUGAACGGCGGCCGUAACUAUAACGGUCCUAAGGUAGCGAAAUUCCUUGUCGGGUAAGUUCCGACCCGCACGAAAGGCGUAACGAUCUGGGCGCUGUCUCGGAGAGAGGCUCGGCGAAAUAGGAUUGUCUGUGAAGAUACGGACUACCUGCAUUUGGACAGAAAGACCCUAUGAAGCUUUACUAUAGCUUGGAAUUGUGUUCGGGCUUCCUGUGCGCAGGAUAGGUGGGAGGCGUAGAAGGUAUUCUUGUGGGGAUACUGGAGCCAACGGUGAGAUACCACUCUCAGGAGGCUAGAAUUCUAACUUAAUUAAGGACAGUUUCAGGUGGGUAGUUUGACUGGGGCGGUCGCCUCCAAAAAGGUAACGGAGGCGUACAAAGGUUCCCUCAGACUGGUUGGAAAUCAGUCGAAGAGUGCAAAGGCAGAAGGGAGCUUGACUGCGAGAAGUACAGUUCGAGCAGGGUGGAAACACGGUCUUAGUGAUCCGACGGUGCUGUGUGGAAGGGCCGUCGCUCAACGGAUAAAAGUUACUCUAGGAUAACAGGCUGAUCUCCCCCAAGAGUUCACAUCGACGGGGAGGUUUGGCACCUCGAUGUCGGCUCAUCGCAACCUGGGGCGGAAGUACGUCCCAAGGGUUGGGCUGUUCGCCCAUUAAAGCGGUACGUGAGCUGGGUUCAGAACGUCGUGAGACAGUUCGGUCCAUAUCCGAUGUAGGCGUGAGAAUAUUGAGAGGAGCCUUCCUUAGUACGAGAGGACCGGGAAGGACGCACCGCUGGUGUACCUGUUAUGAUGCCAAUUGUAAACGCAGGGUAGCCAAGUGCGGAGAGGAUAACCGCUGAAGGCAUCUAAGUGGGAAGCCCACCUCAAGAUGAGUAUUCUGGUGUAAGGUCACGGGAAGACGACCCGUAAAUAGGCACGAGGUGGAAGUGCAGAGAUGUAUGAAGCCGAAGUGUACUAAUAGACCGUCGGCUUGACC
rnacentral:rRNA from 1 species